CAGCCGCCGCGGUAAUACAGAGGGUGCGAGCGUUAAUCGGAUUUACUGGGCGUAAAGCGUGCGUAGGCGGCUUCUUAAGUCGGAUGUGAAAUCCCUGAGCUUAACUUAGGAAUUGCAUUCGAUACUGGGAAGCUAGAGUAUGGGAGAGGAUGGUAGAAUUCCAGGUGUAGCGGUGAAAUGCGUAGAGAUCUGGAGGAAUACCGAUGGCGAAGGCAGCCAUCUGGCCUAAUACUGACGCUGAGGUACAAAAGCAUGGGGAGCAAACAGGAUUAGAUACCCCAGUAGUCCCUGUCUCUUAACA
rnacentral:rRNA from 1 species